UACGUAGGGACCAAGCGUUGUUCGGAUUUACUGGGCGUAAAGCGCGCGUAGGCGGCCCUGUAAGUCCGUUGUGAAAGUCAAAGGCUCAACCUUUGAAAGCCGAUGGAUACUGCAGGGCUAGAGUCCGGAAGAGGCGAGUGGAAUUCCUGGUGUAGCGGUGGAAUGCGCAGAUAUCAGGAGGAACACCAAUAGCGAAGGCAGCUCGCUGGGACGGUACUGACGCUAAGGCGCGAAAGCGUGGGGAGCGAACAGG
rnacentral:rRNA from 1 species